rnacentral:rRNA from 1 species
UACGAAGGAGGCUAGCGUUGCUCGGAAUGACUGGGCGUAAAGGGUGUGUAGGCGGUUUUGCCAGUCAGAUGUGAAAUCCCCGGGCUUAACCUGGGAGCUGCAUUUGAGACGUUAAGACUAGAGUGUGAUAGAGGGUGAUGGAAUUCCCAGUGUAGAGGUGAAAUUCGUAGAUAUUGGGAAGAACACCGAUGGCGAAGGCGGCAACCUGGCUCAUUACUGACGCUGAGGUUCGAAAGCGUGGGUAGCAAACAGG